UACAGAGGUCUCAAGCGUUGUUCGGAUUCAUUGGGCGUAAAGGGUGUGUAGGUGGCGCGCUAAGUCGGGUGUGAAAUUUCGGAGCUUAACUCCGAAACUGCAUUCGAUACUGGCGUGCUUGAGGACUGGAGAGGAGACUGGAAUUCCUGGUGUAGCGGUGGAAUGCGCAGAUAUCAGGAGGAACACCUAUAGCGAAGGCAGCUUGCUGGGACGACACUGACGCUAAGGCGCGAAAGCGUGGGGAGCGAACAGG
rnacentral:rRNA from 1 species